rnacentral:misc_RNA from 1 species
UAGAAUAUAUAUAUAUUUUUUUUUCUGCACAGCCAAUGUGCCAGCAAGAAUAAUGAGCAAAGACCACACAACCUAAUUAUCUUAAUUCUUGGGCCAGGCUAUUUUCUUGGUGUUAUCAACAAAGGUCGGGCAUUACACCAUUAAUCUUGUGAAAGUAUGAAAAGCACAUGUUCCAAGUCCAAAGGCCAGACACAAAAGGGUCACAUAACAAAAGGGAAACCAUAAAAGCUUCCAAGAAAUUAUAAAUAUACCUUUAUGGCUAAUGCUUUGUCAAAGCUUUCAAUGGCACUAUCAGGUU